GUUUGUUGUUGAGAGUCUUACCUUGUAUCGUAGGUUGGUUUGGGAACCUUGAGUUUUGGUAGGUUGGAUUCGAGUUUCGUUUAGUUAGUUCGAGUAUCGUCGAUUAACGACAUUAUUUGCUGAGAUCGUGUCUGUUUCUCGCUCGAGUGUCAGAAUUGUUUGGGGUUUGUUUUGUUGGUCUUCUUUUGAGAGAGCGAACGUUCCUGUGUUUUUAGAAUUUCAUUUUUCGCGUUAACCUAUUUUCUUAUAAAACGAUCUAAAAUUUGUCCGACGUUCCGAAAUCUUUCGAACUCGGAAUUCUUUUAAAAUUUAACCCGAAGUUUUAUAUAUCGGCGUGAGUUAGGAAAUGUCUUUAAAAUAUUUUUAAGAGUUAGGGUUGAGAAUCACAGUCGAGGAAAAAUAUUUCGAGUAACUUUUCGUAAACCAUUUUUAACGGACAUUUAAAUUCUUAAUUUUCUUAUUUCGCGACUUUUGUCCGUGAGCGUAACGCGACUCGUCUGUGGAGGGUUUUAAUCUCUAAACUUUAUGAGAAUAUCUUUGUCACAAAAGUAAAAGAUCUAAUGGUGAGGAUUCAAUUUGCUUUUUGAUCCAAUGGCUAGGGAAUGCCUAGGCUUUACUUGUGAAGGAAGGUCACAUUGCUUUUUGUACUUAGCCAAAAUCAAAAGAUCACUUUUUCUUUCUCCUUUCUUCUUCUCUUUGCCGUGGCUUCUCCUCUCUUAAACCCCAUCUUCAUAAAUUUUUCCUUUCCACCAUUUUCAUUAAAGAUCAAGCUUGCUUUCCAUUAGUUCUUUGCUAGCUUACUUCCUUCUUGAGGAAACGAGUAACGGUGUUUAAUUGCGCGUUCGAUUGUGUGAUUGGAAACUUUUACCGAGAUGACAUUCAUGAGCGUGGUGCCGUCGGCCACGAGGAUGAGAUUGAUUUGGAGCGCUCUUAGGAUUGUGGUGUUUGUGAUGAGACGUUCUCCACCACGUCCAUUUGAUCAGACCUAGAGUCUUAGUUCAUUUUGCUUACGUAUCUAGUUUAUUUUGAGAUGUAGUACUUUGACAGACUAUUAUACUUAUGGUGCCUUAGUGGCCUUGCGAUACAUUAGGUUCACGUAACCGUCUUUGUGGUUCGUGAACUAAUUGUAUCCCUUUUGAUAUGUAUAUUAUUCAGGUGAACACUUGCUUCC